rnacentral:rRNA from 1 species
GACGAACGCUGGCGGCGUGCUUAACACAUGCAAGUCGAACGGAAAGGCCCUGCUUUUGUGGGGUGCUCGAGUGGCGAACGGGUGACUAACACGUGAGUAACCUGCCCUUGACUUUGGGAUAACUUCAGGAAACUGGGGCUAAUACCGGAUAGGAGCUCCUGCUGCAUGGUGGGGGUUGGAAAGUUUCGGCGGUUGGGGAUGGACUCGCGGCUUAUCAGCUUGUUGGUGGGGUAGUGGCUUACCAAGGCUUUGACGGGUAGCCGGCCUGAGAGGGUGACCGGCCACAUUGGGACUGAGAUACGGCCCAGCCUCCUACGGGAGGCAGCAGUGGGGAAUAUUGCACAAUGGGCGGAAGCCUGAUGCAGCAACGCCGCGUGCGGGAUGACGGCCUUCGGGUUGUAAACCGCUUUCGCCUGUGACGAAGCGUGAGUGACGGUAAUGGGUAAAGAAGCACCGGCUAACUACGUG